AACUGUAAUCGCGCUCUCCAAGAAGAUCGUUCCAAUUCUUUGUUCGCGCGGUUCCUCAAAUCGAAUCAGCUAUCUCUAUCUUGUAAUUCCACUGCUACCUCAUCAUAGUCGUAAAGACUACGGGAAGUAGAAUAAACAAGAGAAGCGAUUAAAUAUGGUGUAUGCCAUUUCAAAAGGGAUUCCGCAUGAGGCAGGUACAGUUUUUGGCUAAAUUACAACAGUAUUCUAGCUGGAACUAUUCAUUUAUUACAUUUUGACGUGUGCUGUUCUGAUUCAGUAGCACACACAUUUCACUUUUAUCUGCAUCUGCACAGAACUUGUUUCUGUUUAUACGCAUUCCAGACAACUUUUUACUGAAGCUUUAAAUUCUUCUUGAG